GUAAAUACAGUUGCUUAACCAGAGGACAUAGGUUUAAGGUGAGCAAAGAAAGAUUUAAAUAGGAAUUCGAAGGGCAAUGUUUUCCACAAAGAGGGUGGUGGGUAUGUGAAAUAAGCUGCCAAAGGAGGUAGU